CAGUCGCCACGGGAAUACAGAGGGUGCAAGCGUUAAUCGGAAUUACUGGGCGUAAAGCGCGCGUAGGUGGUUUGUUAAGUUGGAUGUGAAAGCCCCGGGCUCAACCUGGGAACUGCAUCCAAAACUGGCAAGCUAGAGUACGGUAGAGGGUGGUGGAAUUUCCUGUGUAGCGGUGAAAUGCGUAGAUAUAGGAAGGAACACCAGUGGCGAAGGCGACCACCUGGACUGAUACUGACACUGAGGUGCGAAAGCGUGGGAGCAAACAGGAUUAGAUACCCGAGUAGUCCCUGUCUCUUAUACA
rnacentral:rRNA from 1 species